CCUACGGGUGGCUGCAGUGGGGAAUAUUGCGCAAUGGGCGCAAGCCUGAUGCAGCCAUGCCGCGUGUGUGAAGAAGGCCUUCGGGUUGUAAAGCACUUUCAGCGGGGAGGAAGGCGUUAAGGUUAAUAACCUUGUCGAUUGACGUUACCCGCAGAAGAAGCACCGGCUAACUCCGUGCCAGCAGCCGCGGUAAUACGGAGGGUGCAAGCGUUAAUCGGAAUUACUGGGCGUAAAGCGCACGCAGGCGGUCUGUCAAGUCGGAUGUGAAAUCCCCGGGCUCAACCUGGGAACUGCAUUCGAAACUGGCAGGCUAGAGUCUUGUAGAGGGGGGUAGAAUUCCAGGUGUAGCGGUGAAAUGCGUAGAGAUCUGGAGGAAUACCGGUGGCGAAGGCGGCCCCCUGGACAAAGACUGACGCUCAGGUGCGAAAGCGUGGGGAGCAAACAGGAUUAGAUACCCCGGUAGUC
rnacentral:rRNA from 1 species